GCGCUCGUGGCCUAAUGGAUAAGGCGCCCGUCUUCUAAACGGAAGAUUGUGGGUUCGAGUCCCACCGUGCGUA